UUAUGUUUUCCUUACAGCCAUAGAAUGAGAAACAUAAAACCCCUCAAUAUGAAGUGAGAUAUAGACAUCCCUCCAUUAACUGUACUGUAGUCAGUGAGUAACAGAUCUGACAGGCUGUUCCCUGAAUGCCUUUCCAAUUGGCCUGUAUGUAGUUAUGAAGUCAGUUGCACAGAACAAUCAUUCCAUCAACCUGGCCAACGAUGAAAUAAAAGCUGUUGCAAGCAAAUUCUUCACCACACUCAUCUUGAAGAUAACAGAUGUUCACCUACACAGAGGGAAUCACCAGCAUUACAAUCAGUUA